GCAGAGAAUACCACUCGUACCUUUUGCAUCAUGAUUCAGCCAGUAAAAACAUGCGAAGAGACCUCUAGUUUGUAACCCCGAAAUCCGACGAGCUACUCCGGGACAGCCUAUCCAGGGCCAACCCGUCUCUGUGGCAAAAGAGUGGGAAGAUCCCCGAGUAGAGGCAAAAGACCUACCGAGUCCGAUUAUAGCUGGUUGCCCAAUAAAUGAAUAUAAGUUCAGCCCCGCAAAGCCCCAUUCACACUAGUCCUACUACAAAAGAUGAAGAGCCAUUAACGGGAGUUAGUCAGAAGAGGUACAGCUCUUCUGACAAAGGACACAACCUUGAGAGAAGAUUAAGGAAUAAAAUUAAACAAGGCCACAAGUCUCAGUGGGCCUGAAAGCAGCCACCUGAAUAGAAAGCGUUAAAGCUCAGACCAACCCCACGCCCCUUAUCAGAUUAAAUAAUCCAAAAUCUCUAUAACCACUGGGCCUCUCUAUGCACCCAUAGAAGAGAUCAUGCUGAAACGAGUAACAAGAAGAUCGAACUUCUCCCGGCACAAACGUAAGUCGGAUCGGACCCCCCACCGACAAUUAACGAACCCAAGAACAGAGGGCACCGCACCAUCACCACCCCUGGUCAAGAAAACCACGUCCCAUUAAUCGUUACCCCCACACAGGAGUGCUAAACCAAGGAAAGACUAAAAGAAAAAAAAGGAACUCGGCAAACCAAAACCCCGCCUGUUUACCAAAAACAUCGCCUCUUGCCACUACUAGUAUAAGAG
rnacentral:rRNA from 1 species